GCACUCGUAGCUCAGCUGGAUAGAGCAUCGGAUUUCGAUUCCGAGGGUCGGGAGUUCGAAUCUCUCCGAGUGCG
rfam:Afipia sp. GAS231 genome assembly, chromosome: I